rnacentral:rRNA from 1 species
UACGGAGGAUUCAAGCGUUAUCCGGAUUUAUUGGGUUUAAAGGGUGCGUAGGCGGGUUAUCAAGUCAGCGGUAAAAUCGUGGAGCUCAACUCCAUCCAGCCGUUGAAACUGAUGAUCUUGAGUGGGCGAGAAGUAUGCGGAAUGCGUGGUGUAGCGGUGAAAUGCAUAGAUAUCACGCAGAACUCCGAUCGCGAAGGCAGCCUACCGGCGCGCUACUGACGCUCAUGCACGAAAGCGUGGGUAUCGAACAGG